rnacentral:rRNA from 1 species
UACAGAGGUCUCAAGCGUUUGUUCGGAUUCAUUGGGCGUAAAGGGUGCGUAGGUGGCGCCGUAAGUCAGGUGUGAAAUUUCGGAGCUUAACUCCGAAACUGCAUUUGAUACUGCGGUGCUUGAGGACUGGAGAGGAGACUGGAAUUUACGGUGUAGCAGUGAAAUGCGUAGAGAUCGUAAGGAAGACCAGUGGCGAAGGCGGGUCUCUGGACAGUUCCUGACAGCUGAGCAACGAAGGCCAGGGGAGCAAACGGG